rnacentral:lncRNA from 1 species
UCCAUCAACUAAAACAAACCUCAAAAACCCCAUCAAUUAUUUUACCAAAAUUACAGGUUCAUCAAAACUCAUUUACUACUGUCUAACCACCAACCUUUGACCAGUUACACAAUAAAAACAUAUAUAAGUGAAAUUUGAAAAGCUAAAAUAAUAGACCUUAGAAAGAAGAAAGAAAUAAAAAAAAAAAAAUUGUUUUUCUAUAGCAGUUCUCAAAAGUCUUUUUGAUUUGCCUUCUUUUCCUUCUUCCUUGUCAAUUUCUCUGUGGACACCGCAUCACGUUCUCUGCGGCAUUGCCAUUAUCAUGAUCGAAAAUGGAAGCCACAGACCUUGUUGUGGCUGCCAAUGACAUUAUCAUCAUUCAGAG